rnacentral:tRNA from 1 species
GGGGUGUUAGUAAAACCAUUACAUAUCCUUGUCAAGGCUAAAUCACAGAUGAGAACUCUGUACACCCCA